rnacentral:rRNA from 1 species
UACGGGGGGGGGCAAGCGUUGUUCGGAAUUACUGGGCGUAAAGGGCUCGUAGGCGGCCAACUAAGUCAGACGUGAAAUCCCUCAGCUUAACCGGGGAACUGCAUCUGAUACUGGAUGGCUUGAGUUCGGGAGAGGGAUGCGGAAUUCCAGGUGUAGCGGUGAAAUGCGUAGAUAUCUGGAGGAACACCGGUGGCGAAGGCGGCAUCCUGGACCGACACUGACGCUGAGGAGCGAAAGCCAGGGGAGCAAACGGG